GGUGGGUAGUUUGACUGGGGCGGUCUCCUCCUAAAGAGUAACGGAGGAGCACGAAGGUUGGCUAAUCCUGGUCGGACAUCAGGAGGUUAGUGCAAUGGCAUAAGCCAGCUUGACUGCGAGCGUGACGGCGCGAGCAGGUGCGAAAGCAGGUCAUAGUGAUCCGGUGGUUCUGAAUGGAAGGGCCAUCGCUCAACGGAUAAAAGGUACUCCGGGGAUAACAGGCUGAUACCGCCCAAGAGUUCAUAUCGACGGCGGUGUUUGGCACCUCGAUGUCGGCUCAUCACAUCCUGGGGCUGAAGUCGGUCCCAAGGGUAUGGCUGUUCGCCAUUUAAAGUGGUACGCGAGCUGGGUUUAGAACGUCGUGAGACAGUUCGGUCCCUAUCUGCCGUGGGCGCUGGAGAACUGAGGGGGGCUGCUCCUAGUACGAGAGGACCGGAGUGGACGCAUCACUGGUGUUCGGGUUGUCAUGCCAAUGGCACUGCCCGGUAGCUAAAUGCGGAAGAGAUAAGUGCUGAAAGCAUCUAAGCACGAAACUUGCCCCGAGAUGAGUUCUCCCUGACCCUUUAAGGGUCCUGAAGGAACGUUGAAGACGACGACGUUGAUAGGCCGGGUGUGUAAGCGCAGCGAUGCGUUGAGCUAACCGGUACUAAUGAACCGUGAGGCUUAACCUU
rnacentral:rRNA from 1 species